UAAUACAGAGGGUGCGAGCGUUGUCCGGAAUCACUGGGCGUAAAGGGCGCGUAGGUGGCCGGGUAAGCGUGCGGUGAAAGCCUGGGGCUCAACUCCAGGUCGGCCGUGCGUACUGCCUAGCUUGAGCACGGUAGAGGCCGAUGGAAUUCCGGGUGUAGCGGUGGAAUGCGUAGAGAUCCGGAAGAACACCGGUGGCGAAGGCGGUCGGCUGGGCCGUUGCUGACACUGAUGCGCGACAGCGUGGGGAGCAAACAGGAUUAGAUACCCUGGUAGUCCACGCCGUAAACGAUGGGCACUAGGUCCUUGGGGGAGCGACCCCGUGAGGGCCGGCGCUAACGCAUGAAGUGCCCCGCCUGGGGAGUACGGCCGCAAGGCUG
rnacentral:rRNA from 1 species